GGAAGUGUGGCGCGCCCGGCAGGGAAACCGGAAGUGUGGUCCGUCAAGUCAAUGCAUAUGAAGUCCAAAAGAGGAACUCGAGGGUAAAUUUCGACGCCCCUGAAACAGCUCUGAGAGCAAAGAGGUCGCCUAUGCUAUGGGAACAAAGAAAAGAGGAGAAAAGCUGGAUAACUGACUCGUCUGUGAUAAUCAGAAAGAGAUAAGAAGCAAGGCCAUCGGCUCAAAGCAAUAAUGGUCAGAUGGUAUUGAAGGUUUGAGGAGAGAGGAGAUGGCAUAAAAUAGUCAUCUUGGAGCACAGGAAGGUGA
rnacentral:lncRNA from 1 species